GAUGAACGCUGGCGGCGUGCUUAACACAUGCAAGUCGAACGAAGCACUUUAUUUGAUUUCUUCGGAAUGAAGAUUUUGUGACUGAGUGGCGGACGGGUGAGUAACGCGUGGGUAACCUGCCUCAUACAGGGGGAUAACAGUUGGAAACGACUGCUAAUACCGCAUAAGCGCACAGGGCCGCAUGACCUGGUGUGAAAAACUCCGGUGGUAUGAGAUGGACCCGCGUCUGAUUAGCCAGUUGGUGGGGUAACGGCCUACCAAAGCGACGAUCAGUAGCCGACCUGAGAGGGUGACCGGCCACAUUGGGACUGAGACACGGCCCAAACUCCUACGGGAGGCAGCAGUGGGGAAUAUUGCACAAUGGGGGAAACCCUGAUGCAGCGACGCCGCGUGAGCGAAGAAGUAUUUCGGUAUGUAAAGCUCUAUCAGCAGGGAAGAAGAAAUGACGGUAC
rnacentral:rRNA from 1 species